CACUCAUGAUCAAUUUGUGUUUCUAUUUCCCCUUCCCUCUUCAUCUUCAGCCAUAUUCUUUCCCAUUCCCUCAUUUGACCAAUGAAAUCUCUAAUGUCUAAAUGCUAAUUGAUUCAUCAAUGACCUUGUGUCAGAUGAAUCAAUACAAGUAUGAUUGCGAUAGGUCCCUCCCAUUUUCUUUUAGUGUGUGGAAUGUUUUAGGAGUUUGGCUCUUUGUACCAAAUCUCUAACAUGCAUUAACACCUAUAUUUUCA
rnacentral:lncRNA from 1 species